UACAGAGGGUGCGAGCGUUGUCCGGAAUUACUGGGCGUAAAGGGCGCGUAGGCGGCUUGGUAAGUCGGGGGUGAAAGUCAGCGGCUCAACCGCUGGACUGCCUUCGAGACUGCCUGGCUUGAGCAUGGUAGAGGCUGGCGGAAUUCCCGGUGUAGCGGUGGAAUGCGUAGAGAUCGGGAAGAACAUCGGUGGCGAAGGCGCUCUACUGGACCACAACUGACACUCAGGGACGAAAGCUAGGGGAGCGAAUGGG
rnacentral:rRNA from 1 species